UCCAGACUCCUACGGGAGGCAGCAGUGAGGAAUAUUGGUCAAUGGACGAGAGUCUGAACCAGCCAAGUAGCGUGAAGGAUGACUGCCCUAUGGGUUGUAAACUUCUUUUAUAUGGGAAUAAAACAGGGUAUGCAUACCCUCUUGUAUGUACCAUAUGAAUAAGGAUCGGCUAACUCCGUGCCAGCAGCCGCGGUAAUACGGAGGAUCCGAGCGUUAUCCGGAUUUAUUGGGUUUAAAGGGAGCGUAGGUGGAUUGUUAAGUCAGUUGUGAAAGUUUGCGGCUCAACCGUAAAAUUGCAGUUGAAACUGGCAGUCUUGAGUACAGUAGAGGUGGGCGGAAUUCGUGGUGUAGCGGUGAAAUGCUUAGAUAUCAUGAAGAACUCCGAUCGCGAAGGCAAGUGUCCGGGGUGCAACUGACGCUGAGGCUCGAAAGUGCGGGUAUCAAACAGGAUUAGAUACCCGGGUAA
rnacentral:rRNA from 1 species